AUUGAGCGCUGGCGGCAGGCCUAACACAUGCAAGUCGAAUGGUAACAGGAAACAGCUUGCUGUUUCGCUGACGAGUGGCGGACGGGUGAGUAAUGUCUGGGAAACUGCCUGAUGGAGGGGGAUAACUACUGGAAACGGUAGCUAAUACCGCAUAACGUCGCAAGACCAAAGAGGGGGACCUUCGGGCCUCUUGCCAUCAGAUGUGCCCAGAUGGGAUUAGCUAGUAGGUGGGGUAACGGCUCACCUAGGCGACGAUCCCUAGCUAGUCUGAGGGGAUGACCAGCCACACUGGAACUGAGACACGGUCCAGACUCCUACGGGAGGCAGCAGUGGGGAAUAUUGCACAAUGGGCGCAAGCCUGAUGCAGCCAUGCCGCGUGUAUGAAGAAGGCCUUCGGGUUGUAAAGUACUUUCAGCGGGGAGGAAGGGAGUAAAGUUAAUACCUUUGCUCAUUGACGUUACCCGCAGAAGAAGCACCGGCUAACUCCGUG
rnacentral:rRNA from 1 species